rnacentral:rRNA from 1 species
AUACGUAGGUGGCAAGCGUUGUCCGGAUUUACUGGGUGUAAAGGGCGCGUAGGCGGGCAGGCAAGUCAGAUGUGAAAUCUCCGGGCUCAACCCGGAAAUUGCAUUUGAAACUGCAGGUCUUGAGUAUCGGAGAGGCAAGCGGAAUUCCUAGUGUAGCGGUGAAAUGCGUAGAUAUUAGGAGGAACACCAGUGGCGGAGGCGGCUUGCUGGACGACAACUGACGCUGAUGCGCGAAAGCGUGGGGAGCAAACAGGAUUAGAUACCCUGUAGUCCACGCCCUAAACGAUGAAUACUAGGUGUGGGGGGACUGACCCCCUCCGUGCCGGAGUAAACACAAUAAGUAUUCCACCUGGGGAGUACGACCGCAAGGUUGAAACUUAAAGGAAUUGACGGGG